UACGAAGGGGGCUAGCGUUGUUCGGAAUCACUGGGCGUAAAGCGCACGUAGGCGGCUUUUUAGGUCAGGGGUGAAAUCCUGGAGCUCAACUCCAGAACUGCCUUUGAUACUGAGAAGCUCGAGUCCGGGAGAGGUGAGUGGAACUGCGAGUGUAGAGGUGAAAUUCGUAGAUAUUCGCAAGAACACCAGUGGCGAAGGCGGCUCACUGGCCCGGUACUGACGCUGAGGUGCGAAAGCGUGGGGAGCAAACAGG
rnacentral:rRNA from 1 species